rnacentral:rRNA from 6 species
GCCAGCGAUUAGGUCGGGAACUCAAAGGAGACUGCCAGUGAUAAACUGGAGGAAGGUGGGGAUGACGUCAAGUCAUCAUGGCCCUUACGACCAGGGCUACACACGUGCUACAAUGGCGCAUACAAAGAGAAGCGACCUCGCGAGAGCAAGCGGACCUCAUAAAGUGCGUCGUAGUCCGGAUUGGAGUCUGCAACUCGACUCCAUGAAGUCGGAAUCGCUAGUAAUCGUGGAUCAGAAUGCCACGGUGAAUACGUUCCCGGGCCUUGUACACACCGCCCGUCACACCAUGGGAGUGGGUUGCAAAAGAAGUAGGUAGCUUAACCUUCGGGAGGGCGCUUACCACUUUGUGAUUCAUGACUGGGGUGAAGUCGUAACAAGGUAACCGUAGGGGAACCUGCGGUUGGA